GACGAACGCUGGCGGCGUGCUUAACACAUGCAAGUCGAACGGUAAGGCUCCAGCUUGCUGGGGUACGCGAGUGGCGAACGGGUGAGUAACACGUGGGUGACCUGCCCUGCACUUCGGGAUAAGCCUGGGAAACUGGGUCUAAUACCGGAUAGGACUGCACCGUGAGGGUGUGGUGGAAAGUUUUUUCGGUGUGGGAUGGGCCCGCGGCCUAUCAGCUUGUUGGUGGGGUAAUGGCCUACCAAGGCGGCGACGGGUAGCCGGCCUGAGAGGGUGGACGGCCACAUUGGGACUGAGACACGGCCCAGACUCCUACGGGAGGCAGCAGUGGGGAAUAUUGCACAAUGGGCGGAAGCCUGAUGCAGCGACGCCGCGUGGGGGAUGACGGCCUUCGGGUUGUAAACUCCUUUCACCAUCGACGAAGGGUUUCUGACGGUAGAUGGAGAAGAAGCACCGGCUAACUACGUGCCAGCAGCCGCGGUAAUACGUAGGGUGCGAGCGUUGUCCGGAAUUACUGGGCGUAAAGAGCUCGUAGGUGGUUUGUCGCGUCGUCUGUGAAAUUCCGGGGCUUAACUCCGGGCGUGCAGGCGAUACGGGCAUAACUUGAGUACUGUAGGGGAGACUGGAAUUCCUGGUGUAGCGGUGAAAUGCGCAGAUAUCAGGAGGAACACCGGUGGCGAAGGCGGGUCUCUGGGCAGUAACUGACGCUGAGGAGCGAAAGCAUGGGGAGCGAACAGGAUUAGAUACCCUGGUAGUCCAUGCCGUAAACGGUGGGCGCUAGGUGUGGGUUUCCUUCCACGGGAUCCGUGCCGUAGCUAACGCAUUAAGCGCCCCGCCUGGGGGGUACGGCCGCAAGGCUAAAACUCAAAGGAAUUGACGGGGGCCCGCACAAGCGGCGGAGCAUGUGGAUUAAUUCGAUGCAACGCGAAGAACCUUACCUGGGCUUGACAUAUACAGGAUCGCGCCAGAGAUGGUGUUUCCCUUGUGGCUUGUAUACAGGUGGUGCAUGGUUGUCGUCAGCUCGUGUCGUGAGAUGUUGGGUUAAGUCCCGCAACGAGCGCAACCCUUGUCUUAUGUUGCCAGCACGUUGUGGUGGGGACUCGUAAGAAACUGCCGGGGUUAACUCGGAGGAAGGUGGGGAUGACGUCAAAUCAUCAUGCCCCUUAUGUCCAGGGCUUCACACAUGCUACAAUGGUCGGUACAGUGGGUUGCCAGUCCGUGAGGGCGAGCUAAUCCCGCAAAGCCGGUCUCAGUUCGGAUCGGGGUCUGCAACUCGACCCCGUGAAGUCGGAGUCGCUAGUAAUCGCAGAUCAGCAACGCUGCGGUGAACACGUUCCCGGGCCU
rnacentral:rRNA from 1 species